GUGUCAGCCGCCGCGGUAAUACGGAGGGGGCUAGCGUUGUUCGGAAUUACUGGGCGUAAAGCGCACGCAGGCGGUGCGGUCAGUUGGACGUGAAAUCCCAGGGCUCAACCCUGGAAUUGCAUUCGAUACUGACGCGCUGGAGGACGGAAGAGGAGAGUGGAAUUCCCAGUGUAGAGGUGAAAUUCGUAGAUAUUGGGAAGAACACCAGUGGCGAAGGCGGCUCUCUGGUCCGUUUCUGACGCUCAUGUGCGAAAGCGUGGGGAGCAAACAGGAUUAGAUACCCUGGUAGUCCACGCCGUAAACGAUGUCAGCUAGACGUUGGGGAGCAUGCUCUUCAGUGUCGCAGCUAACGCAUUAAGCUGACCGCCUGGGGAGUACGGUCGCAAGAUUAAAACUUAAAUGAAUUGACGGGG
rnacentral:rRNA from 1 species